rnacentral:rRNA from 1 species
CACGUAGGGUGCGAGCGUUGUCCGGAAUUAUUGGGCGUAAAGAGCUCGUAGGCGGUGUGUCGCGUCGGCCGUGAAAACCUGCAGCUUAACUGUGGGCUUGCGGUCGAUACGGGCAUCACUGGAGUUCGGCAGGGGAGACUGGAAUUCCUGGUGUAGUGGUGAAAUGCGUAGAUAUCGGGAGGAACACCAGUGGCGAAGGCGACUACCUGGCCUGUUCUUGACGCUGAGGCGCGAAAGCUAGGGGAGCAAACGGG